ensembl:lncRNA novel transcript
GGUGGCACACCCAGGAAGGCACCGGAUACAUGGCAGGCCACCGAUUUGCAAGGCAGAUCUAAUGCUAGGCCAGAGCAAAGAAAUUGGAUGUUUUUAGAUACUUGAUCUGUGGUCUCUGUAAACAGGAGAGAGGAAAUUCUUGUCAACUUCCUCAAAAUGAUCAGUGCAGCUUAGACACGUUUUUGUACCUUGUGACUCCACGAAAAGGACUUCAAAAUUACCCAGUGCCCAGAAGUUCCCCAGGGAGUCUUGCGCCAGUGGAUUAGGGGUGGCGUAAAACAAGUGUUGCUGACCUCAGUGCCGAGUCCACCAUGCUGUCUGUGCUACUCCCCUGCCUGGGGACCACAGGAUUGGGAUAGAGCUGGCCAUCCUCUGCCACUUAAGGG